UUUGGGGCCAUUUAUGUCAAAAUUUUGUUUAGAUGGUUAAAAACAUUCAGUGAUUCACUUAUGCAGACCUUGUAGUAUUCGUUGCUCUCUGCUUCAGAGAAUGCAGAAGUAUUUAUCUCCCAAAGCUUCAUGUAAUAGAUGCUGAAAAGCAAGACAUUACUGGUAACUGACACUGUGAUGUCUGGUAUCAUUUGCUUCAAGACAU
rnacentral:lncRNA from 1 species